AAACAAACUCAUGGUUCUAUGGAAACGGCAUUUUAUUUUUUUAUGACAGAAAUAACCAUAUUUUGAGAUAAUUACGUCAAACCGGAAUACUUUAACAUGGCUGAUAAUAGUUUGAGAUAGCCAAAAGGAAGUGCAAUGGCAAUUUUCAAUCGGACAGAAACAAUCACCUGCCUGUUAUGUGUACUUGGUGUAACGUUCUCCCUGUUUGUCAGAGUGUCCUUUGGUGAUUGCAGUAGUAAUACGUAUUCUACAACUUCUGGGGCAAUCAAAGAAACAGAACAAGAUGUCAUAUUAUGGAAUGAAACGUUUUCAAUUCCUAAUAUCAUUUUGUCUAUGGAGCCUGCAACAACUGGAGUUGAUCCGUCCGCUAUAGACGAUUUGAACGAAUAUAUCAAUUUGAAUUACUCCGACUCAUUUCUAGAAAUCAGGGUUGUCAAAGCACUGGAUAGGGAGGAACUCUUCACAAGAUUUCAUGUUAAUAUAGAAAGCAUUACGCUUCAGAUGUUUUGUAAAACACAAGGAACGCAAGUUGUGAGAACAAAUUUAACAUUGUUUAUUCAAGACGUCAAUGAAUUUGCCCCCUAUAUUCAUGGAAUUCCAUACAACAUCGCAGUGAAAGAGGACACUCCCAUUGGAUCGACUGUAUUUAAGGUCAACAUUACGGAUCCAGAUGUUCCGUCAACUCCUUUGAUAUAUACUUUAAAAUCUACUGACCCAUCGAGCUUGGGUGCUCAGUACUUUGGAUUUUCUCAGCCAAGUUUUCCAAACCUGAAACUCAUCAAGCCUGUUGAUUAUGAUGCACUGGUUUCCAGUGGAAAGGAACCGAUAUUUCAUUUUCUUCUUAAUGUUACGGACGCAAGUUCAUCGGGAUUAAGUAAUAAUACAAACGUCACAGUGGUGGUACAGGAUGUGGAUGAUCUUCCACCUAUAUUUAUCUAUCCAGAUUGUGAACAGCAGUGUGCCAGUACGCAGUUUCGAAUAUCCACUACAAGAACAAAAAGGGGACAGUUGGUUGUUUCUCCAAUUGAGUUAAAGGCAAUUGACCAAGACAGCCUUAAUUUCAGCGUCACUUAUUCCAUAGAGCCAGAUCAAAACAAUUAUCACGACUCCUUUAAGAUAGACAAUAUAACUGCUUCCAUUUCUCAGAUAGGUGAUAUCAACCAUACUGGUAUAAUUUUAGUCAAGGCCACUGAAAAAUCUGCUAAAAGACAUUACACUACUGCAGUUGUACUAGUUGAGUUACCAAAUGAUCCGUUAAACAAACCUGAAAGGAGUACAGAUGAAGGCAAUGACAAUGGAACCUUAAUCGGUAUAAUAGUACUCGCGAUAGUUUCAGCAGCUUUGAUAUCGGUCGUCGUAGUUUUGGUUAUCCUUCAUAGAAAACUGAAGAAAAAUGUUGCGCCUUUUGAUGGUAACAGUUCAGUAAUUAAGGUGCUGGAUGAGAAGGGUCAAAAGAGCUCUGAAAUAAACGAAGUAAAACCUAUUCCUAGAUCACAUACCAUCUCGCAGGAAAUUGAACCUCCAGAUAAUGUGCGCCAGGAAAAUGUCAAGGACAUCAAAGAAUAUGACGAAGAAACUGAUCAUAACUUAGAAAUGCAAAACGGUAACCUACUCAACGCCCUAUCUACAACUUCUGAAAAGAACAAUACAUUGGACCCUAUUCAACCCAACUCAACUCCAAAG
rnacentral:misc_RNA from 1 species